UACGUAGGGUGCGAGCGUUAAUCGGGAAUUACCUGGGCGUAAAGCGUGCGCAGGCGGUUUGCUAAGACAGGUGUGAAAUCCCCGGGCUUAACCUGGGAACUGCGCUUGUGACUGGCAGGCUAGAGUACGGCAGAGGGGGGUGGAAUUUCUGGUGUAGCAGUGAAAUGCGUAGAUAUCAGGAGGAACACCGAUGGCGAAGGCAGCCCCCUGGGCCUGUACUGACGCUCAUGCACGAAAGCGUGGGGAGCAAACAGGAUUAGAUACCCCGGUA
rnacentral:rRNA from 1 species